CGGGAAGUAGCUAAGCUUGGUAGAGCACUUGGUUUGGGACCAAGGGGUCGCAGGUUCGAAUCCUGUCUUCCCGA
rnacentral:tRNA from 1 species